AUGGCAAGAGAUGAAUACGAACUGAGUGGUGAUAGUUUGAGAUCGUUUAGACUUCCGCCGCCGCCGGAGGCGAGCCCUAACGCGGCGACGCUUCAAUGUUAUCGCAAGAGAGAAACGGACGAAGAGAAAUGGAAGUAUGAGAAUUUCGAAGGGAAGAUGAAAAGCCACAAUAUCUGUGAAGCCAAAACGCACCGUUUUAUCCUCUUUAUUUUUUAUUUAUUAUCAUUAUUAUUUUGA